AUUGAUGUUGUUCUAUGUUUUUACCUGGGCAGUCCGUUAUACACUUUCGCUGGUUACAUGUCCUCGGACUGCAAUAAACGUGAAUUGCUACAGAAACCCGUGUGAACCAGUAGCAUUUACAUGGUGUCAGAAGACAGCAGAUACGAACUAUCGACCACUCAAAGGGCACAAACGCUGCUUCCUGCGCUCCCGAUUAGUCGAGAAUGUCUGUUAACCUCACCGGACCUUUCCCGAGCGACUUCUCGUCGGAAGCCUUUCAAAGAGAUUAUCCGAAGGUAUCCAGGUAAUAGACAGAGACGCGGCCUCACCUUGUGUUUGAAGCGGUUGGGAUCCCUGCACACUUUGCGGCUCAGGUCGAUGAAGAAGUGCGUGGCUCUGGCCGUGUCCUCGGGAGUCAUGUCCCACACGAUGCGGAACGAAUCGCACGUCACCUCGCAUAUUUGGAUGUUGCACGGCGUGGCCAGAGGGGCGUCCAUUUCUGUCACGGGAUAAAACGGGACAUUCGACAGUAAAACGACGGAAUCUCAUUUGGAGGAAAAAAAAAAGAAAUUUCCAUUAAAAUCACUGUCACAUACUUGUGAAGCGUAAUCUCUUGAGCCUUGUGGAUAUUUAAAUGUGUAAAUAUCCUUGCUGAUACAUGCAAAUAAAUGCAGUGUUUUUCUUGA